rnacentral:rRNA from 1 species
GAUGAACGCUGGCGGCGUGCUUAACACAUGCAAGUCGAACGGAAAGGCUCCUGCUUGCAGGGGUACUCGAGUGGCGAACGGGUGAGUAACACGUGGGUGAUCUGCCCUGCACUUCGGGAUAAGCCUGGGAAACUGGGUCUAAUACCGGAUAGGACGAUGGUUUGGAUGCCAUUGUGGAAAGUUUUUCGGUGUGGGAUGAGCUCGCGGCCUAUCAGCUUGUUGGUGGGGUAAUGGCCUACCAAGGCGUCGACGGGUAGCCGGCCUGAGAGGGUGUACGGCCACAUUGGGACUGCGAUACGGACCAGACUCCUACGGGAGGCAGCAGUGGGGAAUAUUGCACAAUGGGCGCAAGCCUGAUGCAGCGACGCCGCGUGGGGGAUGACGGCCUUCGGGUUGUAAACUCCUUUCGCUAGGGACGAAGCGCAAGUGACGGUACCUGGAGAAGAAGCACCGGCUAACUACGUG